UUCAGACUUGGUUGAAGAGGCACAGCAGACUCACAGCUGAUCUGUGCACACCCUCAGGACUCUGGGUGUGACACCAUCUUGAUCUGCAGCCUGGUUUUGGUUCAGACCCUCCUGCGAGGACGGCUGAAAGAAGACCAACAGAACCAGAGAUUCUUCAUUCAGUUGGAAAGUCAAGCUGUGUGAAAAAUGUGAGGUGAAGGAGCAGGUGACCUAUGCUUAGUGUGAUGCAGCAUCCAAUGCAACACAAUAAAGGCUGAGUUCUGCACAUUAUUUACAAAUGUUACUCUCAGAUGCAGUCACAGUGCCUCAGCAACAGUUGCCUGUGGAUUUCAGUGUCCAGGUUCUUCACAUGUACAGUUCUUCCAGGUCCAAAGAAUGUCUGAGGCUGGUCCUGGUUUCUAUACUAAAGCUCACUCAAGGACCCAGACACCAGAGACAGAGGAAGAGGGGACUGUUUGUUUGUUUGUCUGUUGGUCCUGGGGUGGGUUGAUGGAGCCAACCAACUACUGUGGGAUGAAGGUGGAGUACACCGUGAACAGGUCACCAGUCUGUUGCAGGGUCACCCAGUCUCACACUUACAUACAAUUGACAAACACCAAUUAACCCAUGAAGCCUUUUUUGUGACUGUGGGAGGAGCCAGAGAAAACCCACACAUGCACAAGGAGAACAUGCUAACUUCACAUGGAAAGAAACAACCAGGAUUCAAACCAGGGCCUUUUCACUGUGAGGCAGGAGUGCCAACCACUACACCACACUGCAGCCUUAAAACCUCAGUCUGUCACUCAAAAAUAUAUAAUGAGGUAUUAAAACAUGCAAACAUCCAACCCUCAAA